GGACGAUUAGCUCAGCUGGAAGAGCAUCUGCUUGACGUGCAGAGGGUCAGCGGUUCGAGCCCGUUAUCGUCCACCA
rnacentral:tRNA from 1 species